AUUGCCCCACUUUGAGAGUUAGGAUAAAUGGCUUUUUUCCUUGGUCCAAUUGCUUUAAUGAGUACAAUGCUCAUCUUUCCACUAGCAAGCCCAGAGAAGAAAAGAAGAAAAAAGAGUGAGACAGCACGUAGGGACUAAAUGAUGGUUGGGGCUCUCUUUUGCAAGUCUUAUCAUGAUACUCUCUAUCUUCUCAUUGAGAGAUUGUGAAGAGAGAAUGAGCUAGGAGAAUAUUGGUGCACUAGCUAGGUGAGACGUUGAUUGAUGGGAAAAAUUGGAUGGUAAAUAAGAUUUAGCUUGGAGAAGAAGGUAUCGUUUUUGUUCUUGGGUCUGGUCAAUGAGGGUUGGUGCGUGGAUAAUUCUACUUUCCUUGAUUUUUCUUCUGCUUUUAGGUUUGGUUUGGUCACCCUCUAGAUCAAGCUUGUUCAUGGUUAGCACUCAAUUCUUAUUAGGACUCUCGAGAGGGACAACAUGAUUAGUAUUCUCUCCAUGUUUUUGGCUUGUUUUCUGCUAGUUGCUUAGGAGGUAUAAUUCUCAGUAUAAUAUUCAGGGAAAUUAAACUUCAAGCAAUAUCAGUCGUCAAGAAUUGCAAAAACAAAAGUAGAUGUAAAGUUAGAAAUGGAGUUGCCAUUGAUUGAAGGUCUCAUAAAUAAUGCUUAUAGCUAGGUGAAGAUGCAACGCUAGUGCUUGUGCUGGAAUCCCGGCCCAGAUCCUUCGGUCAGGGAGGAAUGAUCAGUAGGCAAAGCUUAUAUUAAUUAAGGUUAAUUGAUUGCUUAAACCUUUCUUGAACUGAAAUGGACGAGUUUGAGGUCUAUGAAUCAGGACUUGGACGCUACGAGCAUUUUGCAUGCUUGUGAAAUUAAUGUAUACAAGGACCUCUAUGAAAAACGUCUGUUCCUUCGUUAGCACUCAAGUUAAUAAAGGUAUUUUGUUUUUUCUUUUUCUUUUUCUUCAUGAACAAUUCUCGUAGAUAAAUAAAGCGUAUACAAUACAGCUAUUAAACGUGAUUGAUUCUCUCAUUUUGAUUUCUAUGAAUUUGAUCAGAUUUAGAUUUUAUUUCGAAUUGUAAUGGAUACUAAUCAAGCCAGAUCCAUUUAACUGGUCACCUUAGGAUCUAGACUAUUCCAAGCUGAAAAAAAACAAAACAAAAAAAAAAUUUCACUGAUCUAGUUAAAAAUUCAUGUUGACCCAAUAACUUGUUCAAAACCCGGCCAUUAAUCCGGUAUUGAAACCAACUCUUCCGACUUGUAACUCAAGCUUUCCAGUAUUAGAUUUUAAAAUUACAAGAAAAAGGAUACAAGAGCACAAGACGAAGCUUUUAACAAAUCUAAAAAGGUGCGUGGUAGGUUAAAGUGACCAACCAUAGAUUAGGAGACGAGCUUGAGCAUCUCUUUCAGGCCACAGAUAUGGAUAACGAAGUGUAAGCAAGUAAUAUAAUUAACGAACAAGCAGCAAGAUCUGUUAAUCAUUACUCUACUCAGGGAAGAAAGCGAUCUUACUCCAUUAAUUCACUGCAUAAACAUUAGAGUUAUUGUUGAAGGAUAGCAAAUCCCAAGAACAUCAUCAAAUUACAAGAAAAUUCAAACCAAGCAAAGCAGGAUACAUGAGCUAGCUAUACGCAGACACUAAAACAGGCAAGGCACGUACACAAAACACCAGAUAGAGAUUAAGGGCUACAUCAUUUUUGAGAAAUGAGUAUGUUCACCAAGCUAACCCAAGGGUUUUGGAUGACCAGGACCAGGAGGAGAAGGCUUGGGAAUAUAUGGGUUAAGAGGAGUGCCAUGCUCAAUAGGACCAGGUUUUAUGGAAGCUUUUGAACUUGGAACUGGAUCGAUAGGGUGGUAAUCUUCCAGGUU
rnacentral:lncRNA from 1 species